UGGCCCAGAUCGUUUACCGUGAAAAAAUUAGAGUGUUCAAAGCAGGCAGAUCCAAUUUUCUGCCACCGAAUACAUUAGCAUGGGAUAAUGGAAUAGGACCCUGUCCUCCUAUUUUCAGUUGGUUUUGGCAGCGCGAGGACUAGGGUAAUGAUUAAUAGGGAUAGUUGGGGGCAUUAAUAUUUAAUUGUCAGAGGUGAAAUUCUUGGAUUUAUGAAAGAUUAACUUCUGCGAAAGCAUCUGCCAAGGAUGUUUUCAUUAAUCAAGAACGAAAGUUAGGGGAUCGAAGACGAUCAGAUACCGUCGUAGUCUUAACCAUAAACGAUGCCGACCAGCGAUUAGGAGACGUUGAAUACAAAACACCACCAUCGGUGCGGUCGUCCUUGGCGUCUCGGUCCUUCACGGGGCCGGGGGCGGGGGCGGCUUAGCC
rnacentral:rRNA from 1 species